rnacentral:rRNA from 1 species
CGUAGGAAAAACCGCGUGGCAAUCCGAAGGCGUGAUGUGGACCGAACUUUCAGUAGGGAAGUAUGUGAGCCAUGUGCCGGGAAAAGCAGCUAUUGUUCAUACCGCACCCGUACCGUAAACCGACACAGGUGGAUGAGGAGAGAAUCCUAAGGCCGACGGAAGAAGCAUUGUUAAGGAACUCGGCAAAAUAGCCCCGUAACUUCGGGGGAAGGGGUGCCUGGAAACAGGCCGCAGAGAAUUGGCCCAAGCAACUGUUUAGCAAAAACACAGGUCUAUGCGAAACCGAAAGGUGAGGUAUAUGGGCUGACGCCUGCCCGGUGCUGGAAGGUUAAGAGGAGAGCUUAGCGCAAGCGAAGGUUUGAAUUUAAGCCCCAGUAAACGGCGGCCGUAACAAUAACGGUCCUAAGGUAGCGAAAUUCCUUGUCGGGUAAGUUCCGACCCGCCCGAAAGGCGUAAUGAUUUGGGCGCUGUCUCGACAAUGCAUCCGGUGAAAUUGAAGUACCAGUGAAGAUGCUGGUUACCUGCGCCAGGACGGAAAGACCCCAGGAGCUUUACUCCAGCUUGACACUGGGAUUCGGUAAUGCAUGUACAGGAUAGGUGGGAGGCAAUGAAAUAGGGACGCCAGUUUCUAUGGAGCCGCUGUUGGGAUACCACCCUUGCGUUAUUGGGUUUCUAACCUGCCGCCGUUACCCGGCGGGGGGACAAUGUCUGGCGGGGAGUUUGACUGGGGCGGUCGCCUCCGAAAGUGUACCGGAGGCGCCCAAAGGUUCCCUCAGAAUGGUUGGAAACCAUUCGAAGAGUGCAAAGGCAGAAGGGAGCUUGACUGCGACACCGACGGGUGGAGCAGGUACGAAAGUAGGGCUUAGUGAUCCGGUGGUAUUAAGUGGGAAUGCCAUCGCUCAACGGAUAAAAGCUACCCUGGGAUAACAGGCUUAUCACUCCCAAGAGUUCACAUCGACGGAGUGGUUUGGCACCUCGAUGUCGGCUCAUCGCAUCCUGGGGCUGUAGUAGGUCCCAAGGGUUGGGCUGUUCGCCCAUUAAAGCGGUACGCGAGCUGGGUUCAGAACGUCGUGAGACAGUUCGGUCCCUAUCCGGCGCGGGCGUAGGAUAUUUGAGAGGAGCUGCCCUUAGUACGAGAGGACCGGGGUGGACUGACCUCUGGUGUACCGGUUGUCAUACCAAUGGCACGGCCGGGUAGCCAAGUCGGGCAGGGAUAAACGCUGAAGGCAUCUAAGCGUGAAGCCCCCCUCAAGAUGAGAUAUCCCAAGACCCCUUGAAGAACACGAGGUAGAUAGGGCAGAGGUGGAAGUGCAGUAAUGCAUGGAGCUGACUGCUACUAAUCGGUCGCAAGCUUAUCA